GAUGGUUUGUGCCAGGCUGACAAAUAUGUUCAUGGCAGUCAAGGAGAACACAGCGACGUCAUACGCACACACUGUGGAUGUAUCCCUGAUGUUACCUGCAGACCUGCUCGUUCAGGAUCAUACAUGCUAUACUAUACGGCACUUGACUUCCUCAACUGCGAUAGCCUCCCUGGUCCCUGAUUCGUCUCACCCAUGUUUGUUAGUUCUUUGUGCCCAGACACUUGCAGAUUCUACUGCAUUUAAUUGUGUUUUGUAUCCUCCUUAGCGAGCAUCUUUUGCUAUAGUUUUGUAACCUCCAUGAGAGCGUUUUUUCUUAGUAUUUUCUAGUAAAGCGUUUUUGGUUUAAAAAUA